UACGUAGGCAGCAAGCGUUGUUCGGAAUUACUGGGCGUAAAGAGUGUGUAGGCGGUUCUCUAAGUCUGUUGUGAAAUCUCCCGGCUUAACUGGGAGGGUGCGGCGGAGACUGGAGUGCUAGAGUGUGGGAGAGGUAAGCGGAAUUCCUGGUGUAGCGGUGAAAUGCGUAGAUAUCAGGAGGAACACCUGUGGUGUAGACAGCUUACUGGACCACGACUGACGCUGAGACACGAAAGCGUGGGUAGCAAACAGG
rnacentral:rRNA from 1 species